rnacentral:snRNA from 1 species
AUUGCUUCUCAGCCUUUUGGCUAAGAUGAGGUGUAGUAUCUGUUCUUAUCAGUUUAAUAUCUGAUAUGUCCUCUAUUUGAGGACUCUAUAUUUUGGAUUUUUGGAAUUGGGAGCUAUUUUUUUUAAAAAAAAAUACUAAUACAGUAGAGUCUCGACUAUCCGAC